rnacentral:misc_RNA from 1 species
AGCAGCCGCGGUAAUUCCAGCUCCAAUAGCGUAUAUUAAAGUUGUUGCAGUUAAAAGCUCGUAGUUGAAUUUCGGGAUCAAUACGUCGGUCGUGCUUCGGUACGUACUGGCGUAAUUGAUUUCUCCCUUCUGACGAACCAUGAUGUCAUUAACUUGGUGUCAUGGGAAAUCAGGACUGUUACUUUGAAAAAAUUAGAGUGUUUAAAGCAGGCUCACGCUUGAAUACAUUAGCAUGGAAUAAUGAAAUAGGACGUUCGAUCCUAUUUUGUUGGUUUUUAGGAUCAACGUAAUGAUUAAUAGGGAUAGUUGGGGCAUUAGUAUUCAAUUGUCAGAGGUGAAAUUCUUGGAUUUAUUGAAGACUAACUACUGCGAAAGCAUUUGCCAAGGAUGUUUUCAUUAAUCAAGAACGAAAGUUAGGGGAUCGAAGACGAUCAGAUACCGUCGUAGUCUUAACCAUAAACUAUGCCGACUAGGGAUCGGAUGAUGUUAAUUUUUUAAUGACUCAUUCGGCGCCUUACGG